AUGGUUAGAAAAACUAGAAGAUGGUUGAAGUUUUCUAUUGUGGUUCCAAAUUCGGCCAUAUACUUGAUUUUAAUUCAUCCCACAAUUGGGAUCAAUGUCAUUGCAGAAGAUACCACAUCAGUGACACUAUUUAUGUACCUUAUCCUGCUGUUUCAUUUCUAUUGUUUUUAUUCUUCUAAUUCAGAGGCUUCACACAAUUUUUACUUCUUUCAUACAUGA